GCCCUAGUGGUCUAAGGGUAUAUGACACCUCUGCAGUUUGCUGCCAGUCCAACUGCCUUUGUGGAGGUGAUCCCAGUUCGAAUCUGGGUUGGGGCC